AUUCCAAUGUGCUAGUCCGGCACGCCAAAUAAAACGGUGUCCAAAAUGAGCUAAGAUAUGGUGGACAUCGUAUGAGCUUUGCUUGCACCUAUACCAUUCAACAGCUCUGGCCCAUAUGAAUUAGGAGGGUUUUUUACUAAAAUAAUACAAAAGAAAUAAAAAAAUACCAAAAUAAUAUAAAAAAAUUAUUUACCAAAAUAUACC
rnacentral:lncRNA from 1 species